CUAUCAGGUUUCGACUAAGCCAUGCGAGUCAUGGGGUCGUAAGACACCGGCGUACCGCUCAGUAACACGCGGACAAUCUACCCCCAGGCGGGGUAUAACCUCGGGAAACUGAGGGUAAUUCCCCAUAGCUACCAUAUGCUGGAAUGCUGUGGUGGCAAAAGCUUCGGCGCCUGAGGAUGAGUCUGCGGCCUAUCAGGUAGUAUGUGGUGUAAAGGACCACAUAGCCGAGGACGGGUACGGGCCCUGAGAGGUGUAGCCCGGAGAUGGGUUCUGAGACACGAACCCAGGCCCUACGGGGCGCAGCAGGCGCGAAACCUUCGCAAUGCGCGCAAGCGCGACGAGGGGAACUCGAGUGCAAUUGUCAUUUUUGAUGAUUGCUUUUCUUGAUCCUAAAAAGAUCAGGGAAUAAAAGCUGGGUAAGACGGGUGCCAGCCGCCGCGGUAAUACCCGCAGCUCAAGUGGUGGCCACUAUUAUUGAGCCUAAAGCGUCCGUAGCCGGUCUUGUAAAUCUCUGGGUAAAUCCUGCCGCUUAACGGUGGGAAUGCUGGAGAGACUGCAAGACUGGGGAUCGGGUGAAGUGAGAGGUACUCCUGGGGUAGGGGUAAAAUCCUGUAAUCCUGGGGGGGACGACCGGUGGCGAAAGCGUCUCACUAGAACGACUCCGACGGUGAGGGACGAAGGCUAGGGGAGCAAACCGGAUUAGAUACCCGGGUAGUCCUAGCUGUAAACGCUGCACACUUGGUGUUGCCCCUUCUUCGGGAAA
rnacentral:rRNA from 1 species